CUGCUCAUUUAGGCAGCACAUAUACUAAAAUUGGAAUGACACAGAGAUUAACCUGGCCCCUGAGCAAGGAUGACAUGCAAAUUCAUGAAGCUUUCCAUGUUUUU
ensembl:snRNA U6 U6 spliceosomal RNA